GAAGGGACCUCGUCGAGGGCUGGGGGGAUUGGCACAAAAUGUCACAAGAAAGAAGAAGAAAGAAGCACCAUCACAGAGAACAUUUGGACACCACUACAGCAUCUGCACAGGGUCUGUUCCAACUGAGAGCCCAAACUGGAUUAGAUUUACCGUUGGACCGUUGACUUGUUUUUGGUCAUGCCGGAUUUAUCAAGGAAACAGGCUGGAUCCCCGCCAAGCCCACUCUCAGCUCUCUUCAAAAGGCCCUCUUGUUCUCCUUUCUCACCCUUCUACUGUACUUACACAAGUGUGUUUGAUCCUCAGCACCGCCUAGGAUAACCCAAACUACAUUUAUCAGCAGUGACACAGAAUCUAAACACACAACGUUUCAUAUUAAACCCCUCAGCUUUCACUUUCUCCCCCCCCCCCCCCCCGACUCCUAUCUCUCUCUGCCUCUUCCUGUCCCUCUCUUUAGUCUUGGCAUAGCCGGCAGGAUCAGAUGACACAGGCAGACUCCUCACUGGCCGCAGCAUUGUGUAACCACCAGCCAGUGCUGUUGUUUAUCGUCCUGGACUGUCGGGGGAGACGUCCUGUCCUGUGCCGGAUCUGCACAAAACAGCCAAGAUAAAGAGCGCCGUGCCUUUGAUAAAUAUUAAGAAACAAAAACGACAAUUAGGGCCAAAUCCGAAUAGAGCAAAAGACGUGAAAAUGCAACAACGGCAGGGUGUGUCUCUUCUCUCUCUCUCUCUCACCGGCCCCCGUGUGUGAAUAAGCGUACAGGCAAAGUGUUUCAUGGUCAGAGGAGGUGUAGAGGGAUUAGUGUGCAAGAUGGAUAGUGAACGUGUUGGGCUGAGAAGCGCUGAGAGUGUAAAGCAGAUGUUUGAACAUGAUAGGGGGGGGUUAAAUGAAGAAUAACAGCAUGGUGAGAGAGAGAGUGGACUGAUCCGCAGAGGAGAGUCAAACCUACAGAAACCUCUGCUGUAAUUUCACAUGCUCGAUGGUCAAAAAUAGCUUUGAUAGAAAAAUAGAAGGCUACACAGAAACAAUGUUAUUCCAGACAAGCAAAGAUUUGUUGACAUUUCCGAUUAUUUCUUAGAAAUAGAACCGAGACCGGUAGAAAGCGGCACCCUCUACUAUUGCUCAGAAUGUUUUAAAGGCACAAAGAGCCACCCACUCGCAGAAGCAUGUCCAUGAGAUACAUGAAUACGUGGUUGUGUUUACUACGGCACAGGACAUUUUAUUCUCUACUCUCGAGCCACGCCCCGGAAGAGCUCAGGCAGAGCUGCACCACAUCGCCAGCCUCCCUGCUUUCACUCCCCUCGUUCCCUUUUGUUUACAGGAGGCAGCUGAAGGGAUAGCGCCUGACAUCAGACCAGUCUCACUCAUCCUAUCUAUGUUUCCUUAGGUUCACCGUGACCACGGCCACACCGUUCCACCAGUGGCGGAUGACGGCAUGAGAGCUCUUAGCCAGACUAAAGCAACAAAACAGUCAAUGUUAAACACGACAAUGUUGCCUGUAAACAAAUUGCCAUUGUGACUGUUUAAAAUAUUUGGGCUCAGAUAAACAAACCGGAGUUGUGUGAAAAUUCCCACCGGCUGCAGGAAGCCUCAGACCUGCCCUGUUAAAAUAAAAAACUGUUGCCAGUGGCAACAGCACAGAGACACAGUAGAUCACGAUGACACUGCUGUCACCGUGGACACGAUAAACAUCACGGAGUGUCUUCAGCGACCAUUAAGACAAAGCAACUUUGGGGUUUCUGAUGUUGUCGGCCGGGUUAAAAACAUUGCAGUUAAAAUCAUGGUUGUUUUCAUGCAUUCCCCUCAGUCUGCAGGCUGAUACAAGCCACUGCAGGAAGAGCAAAUUUAACAAAGUAUUCUUCUUUAGAAAGACAUUUCGAAGAUGCAACUUUUUCACCUGACCGCAGCAGAGUCUUUUUCAUUAUUUUUUUUCUCAACAUUAUUAUUCUUAAUGUUAAGUCUUUACUGUAACGCCUUCAAGUCCCUGACGCAGGCCUCUUGCAGAAACUGCGGCGGUGCAAAUAUUUGAUCAGGUUUUCCUUAAUUAUACACAAAUGUCUAUUGCUGUACAUAUGUGUUUCUAAUUCAAACGGGCUCCUUCCGUUAAGCAUGACACCGUAAACAAGGCACUGAAACAUUGAGCAGACCUCUGUGACCCACAUUAUGCCAGAUCAUGUGAAUACACUUUUUAAAAUAAGGACUGUGAUGCUAGUUUGUCUUUGUUAUGCCCCCCCCCGGUAACAUAUGGCAACAACCUGAACAGAAACGGCCCCUUUGUUUCUACAGUCCCACAAAAAGACACAACUUCAUCAAACGACUUGUUGGGAGUUGAAAACGUUAAUCUCUGUGUGUGCUGAUUGUACUUUAAACGUGUAUGUUGUGACAGUGAAGGAAUAUAGGUCAAACUUUAUACAUAUCUGUAUUAGGGGAAAAUAAAGGCUUGGCCUGGUGUACUAAUGUUGCACUAACGUCAGCUUAGUUUCUGUAGCCAGGCAGUGGUUCAAGCUGUAGCUGUGUCUCAGCAGCACGACUGAGCCUGGAUCCUGUAUCCUGCACCAACAUGACGCCCAGUCUGCUUCAAUACACAGCCAGGGGCCCACUGCUGAUUCAGGAUCUCUCUCUCUCUCUCUCUCUCUCUCUCUCUCUCCAAUGAGACUGUACGAACACACACAACAACCUUUGACUACUUGAAUCAACUCUCACCAGAAUGGCAUCAAGAAGAAAAACAUUUUGAAAAAGAUGCAGAGAGAUGCAGAUCUGACAGCGACACAGACACGCCUGGAAGGAGUUUCCCUCCAACUGAACCUAAUCAAUGUCAUGUUGCUAAUUAGAGGAAUGGAAAGAAACUGUGUAGUUAGCAUUACUGAUGGAAAGCUGUGUGAGAUUUAUAGUUCUGUCUCGUCUUGUGCGUUUGUCAUUAAAAUGCUUAAAUGAUUAAAUUGGUCUUAGCACGGUCAGGCCGACCUGAAAACAACAGUGUUUUUGUUCCCUCGCUAAUCUUUCUCUGUGUUGUGAGUCCAUCGUGAAAACUUUUCUUUUUUUUUUGCAGGCAUGCUCUGUGUGAUGUUGUGUUGUUUUCCUUCACCUGUACGUGACACUAAAAAUGCAGACAGGACUUUGAACUGAAAGGUACUGGAAUAAAAAUGCUUGAUUGUGUGUCUAUUUGAAAGUC